rnacentral:rRNA from 1 species
UACGUAGGGUGCGAGCGUUGCCCGGAUUUAUUGGGCGUAAAGGGCGCGUAGGCGGCCACGCACGUCCGUUGUGAAAUCGCCCGGCUCAACUGGGCGGGGUCAGCGGAUACGGUGUGGCUCGAGCAAGCUAGGGGGCAAUGGAAUUCCCGGUGUAGUGGUGGAAUGCGUAGAGAUCCGGAAGAACACCGGUGGCGAAGGCGGCCUGCUGGGCAGUUGCUGACACUGAGGCGCGACAGCGUGGGGAGCAAACAGG